CACGUAGGCGGAUUAGUCAGUCAGAGGUGAAAUCCCAGGGCUCAACCCUGGAACUGCCUUUGAUACUGCUAGUCUUGAGCUCGAGAGAGGUGAGUGGAAUUCCGAGUGUAGAGGUGAAAUUCGUAGAUAUUCGGAGGAACACCAGUGGCGAAGGCGGCUCACUGGCUCGAUACUGACGCUGAGGUGCGAAAGCGUGGGGAGCAAACA
rnacentral:rRNA from 1 species